GACACAUUACAUUUCUUCACGGAGACAGCACAGUAAGGCUGAAAGGCACACAGAGAAAACGAUGUAGCUCCUGAUUCAGAAUAAAAGGUUCCUCAUCUGUGAGAUUGGGAGAAUGAUGGUGCAUACCGAAUAGCAAUGUGACUAAAGAAUUAUUUGGCCUGAAUCAGAGUCAAGGAUGGAAGGAAGAUGGAAGAAGGUUAUGAACAAAGCCAUCUAAGGACUCAUGCUGUACACAAAGACCCUGAGACACCAAAAGGGAAGGAGUAGAACCAAGGAGCUUCUCGCAAAGAGGAAUGAUCAUUUCUACAGAAAAGAUAAGAGGUCAAGCUGCUGAAGAAGGAGAUCUCAGGAACACAGGGCCAUUUGCUAUUUUCUUUACAACAUCUGAUCUCUGCAGAUCAGUGAGCCUAUGAGUUUUCUUCAGAGGCAAGCAAGGGACCCCAGAAGAGAAGCGGCUCAACUCUACAAGUUCUGAAGUUUUCUGAAUCUCAUGAUGUCAACAGACUAUUUCAGGAAAAGAAAUUAUCACCCAAUGUCGUGUAAAAACUAUUGCAACCCAUGCAAUGUUGUAUCUUACUUUGUGUCAAGAACUUCUCAGAGUGCAACAGAAAUGCAUCGCAUAUGAGAAAACUUGCUUUAAAGAGAAAGAAGAGCUCUUGAAAGCUGCCCACCUGUGAAAAGCUGGUAAAGUCAGAACCCCCCCCCCCAACCUUUCCCUCUGGUUUUCAGCUUGCUUCAAGACCUUUCUCCUCCUCCUGAUCCUAGAGUCAUUCUGUGGGUGUGAAUAUCUUCCUCCAGUCUCGUAUUCUAUUAAUUAAAUUUAAUAAAUAAUCUAAGAAGG
rnacentral:lncRNA from 1 species